CCUACGGGAGGCUGCAGUGAGGAAUAUUGGUCAAUGGGCGCGAGCCUGAACCAGCCAAGUAGCGUGAAGGAUGACUGCCCUACGGGUUGUAAACUUCUUUUAUAAAGGAAUAAAGUGAGGCCCGUGUGCCUUUUUGUAUGUACUUUCUGAAUAAGGAUCGGCUAACUCCGUGCCAGCAGCCGCGGUAAUUCGGAGGAUCCGAGCGUUAUCCGGAUUUAUUGGGUUUAAAGGGAGCGUAGUUGGGUUGUGAAGUCAGGUGUGAAAGUUUGCGGCUCAACCGUAAAAUUGCAUUUGAUACUGGCAGCCUUGAGUACAGUUGAGGUAGGCGGAAUUCGUGGUGUAGCGGUGAAAUGCUUAGAUACCACGAAGAACUCCGAUUGCGAAGGCAGCCUACUAAACUGCCACUGACAUUGAUGCUCGAAAGUGUGGGUAUCAAACAGGAUUAGAUACCCGUGUAGUC
rnacentral:rRNA from 1 species